rnacentral:rRNA from 1 species
UACGUAGGGUGCGAGCGUUAAUCGGAAUUACUGGGCGUAAAGCGUGCGCAGGCGGUUUUGUAAGCCAGAUGUGAAAGCCCCGGGCUUAACCUGGGAAUGGCAUUUGGGACUGCAAGGCUGGAGUGUGGCAGAGGAGACUGGAAUUCCUGGUGUAGCAGUGAAAUGCGUAGAUAUCAGGAGGAAUACCGAUGGCGAAGGCAGGUCUCUGGGCUGACACUGACGCUCAUGCACGAAAGCGUGGGGAGCAAACAAGG